AUGGCAAAGUGGGUGAUUAUAACUUUUUUCUUCACUGCUCAUGAGUUUGUGUGCUGGGGACAAGACAAAGUUGAACAAGCUUCAAGACAAAUGACUGCAAAUGAAGCAGCUCAUGUUACUCUGCUGUGCAAUUACUCUACCAGUUUUCUUAAUGCUUAUCUCUUCUGGUACAAACAACUACCAAACACAUCACCAACAUUCAUUCUGAGUGAAUUUACAGUUGGUAAAGGAACUACUGAGAAUGCAUUUAAAGAGAGAUUUUCUGCAACACUGGACUCCACAUCAAGAUCAGUUCCACUGACAAUCCAGGAUGUGUGUGUUUCUGACUCUGCUGUGUAUUACUGUGCUCUGAGGCCCACAGUGACUGAAGCACACUCAACACUCAUACAAAAGCUCAGGGAGACACAUUACAGAGGAUAAAAUAACCAAACACACUUCUGUGCACAGAUCUGCACAAAGCUCCCGUGUUUCC